UACGAAGGGGGCGAGCGUUGUUCGGAUUUACUGGGCGUAAAGGGCGCGUAGGCGGCCUUCCAAGUCGAGUGUGAAAGCCCCGGGCUCAACCUGGGAGGUGCGCUCGAGACUGGCAGGCUGGAGUUCGGGAGAGGAGCGUGGAAUUCCCAGUGUAGAGGUGAAAUUCGUAGAUAUUGGGAAGAACACCAGUGGCGAAGGCGGCGCUCUGGACCGAGACGUGACGCUGAGG
rnacentral:rRNA from 1 species